CGCUGGCGGCAGGCCUAACACAUGCAAGUCGAGCGGUAGAGAGUGCUUGCAUCUCGUUGAGAGCGGCGGACGGGUGAGUAAUGCCUAGGAAUCUGCCUGGUGGUGGGGGAUAACGUUCGGAAACGGACGCUAAUACCGCAUACGUCCUACGGGAGAAAGCGGGGGAUCUUCGGACCUCGCGCCAUUAGAUGAGCCUAGGUCGGAUUAGCUAGUUGGUGAGGUAAUGGCUCACCAAGGCGACGAUCCGUAACUGGUCUGAGAGGAUGAUCAGUCACACUGGAACUGAGACACGGUCCAGACUCCUACGGGAGGCAGCAGUGGGGAAUAUUGGACAAUGGGCGAAAGCCUGAUCCAGCCAUGCCGCGUGUGUGAAGAAGGUCUUCGGAUUGUAAAGCACUUUAAGUUGGGAGGAAGGGUAGUAACCUGAUACGUUGCUACUUUGACGUUACCGACAGAAUAAGCACCGGCUAACUUCGUG
rnacentral:rRNA from 1 species